AAACAAGGUUGUAAAGCUUUUUACAAAAGUAUCGAAAACUAAAGCCUACAUUUCAUGCAAAUAUUCUUAUCU
rnacentral:tRNA from 1 species